rnacentral:rRNA from 1 species
GACGUAGGGCGCGAGCGUUGUCCGGAUUUACUGGGCGUAAAGGGCGUGCAGGCGGUUUGUUAAGUGCAGGGUGAAAGCUCCCGGCUCAACUGGGAGAGGUCCUUGCAUACUGGCGAACUCGAGGGAGGCAGAGGAAAGUGGAAUUCCCGGUGUAGUGGUGAUAUGCGUAGAUAUCGGGAGGAACACCUGUGGCGAAGGCGGCUUUCUGGGCCUUACCUGACGCUGAGACGCGAAAGCGUGGGGAGCGAACCGG